CCAAUAGCGUAUAUUAAAGUUGUUGCAGUUAAAAAGCUCGUAGUUGAAUUUCGGGAUCAAGGAAUCGGUCAUGCCUCGGUAUGUACUGGUUUUAUUGGUUCUCACCUUCUCAAGAACCAUAAUGUCAUUCAUUUGAUGUUAUGGGGAAUUAGGACUGUUACCUUGAAAAAAUUAGAGUGUUUAAAGCAGGCUUACGCUUGAAUACAUUAGCAUGGAAUAAUGAAAUAGGACAUCAGAUUCUAUUUUGUUGGUUUCUAGGAUCGAUGUAAUGAUUAAUAGGGAUAGUUGGGGGCAUUAGUAUUCAAUUGUCAGAGGUGAAAUUCUUGGAUUUAUUGAAGACUAACUACUGCGAAAGCAUUUGCCAAGGAUGUUUUCAUUAAUCAAGAACGAAAGUUAGGGGAUCGAAGACGAUCAGAUACCGUCGUAGUCUUAACCAUAAACUAUGCCGACUAGGGAUCGGAUGAUGUUAAUUUUAUAAUGACUCAUUCGGCACCUUACG
rnacentral:rRNA from 1 species